GCCUGUCCGUCAGGAGUUAGCGACAGGGAGGGUCGCGGGUUUGGGCUUAGUGGGGAGGGUGGAGGUGGUUAGUUCAGGGCCUCGGGGGGGAAAUGCAGGGGAAGGAAGGGUCAGAGGAGACUGGAGGGGGUUGGGGUCCAAGACCAAGCAAAGUUAAAGAGGAGGCUGGAAAGUGGGGGUGCUAUGGUGGGGAGAGUUAUGUCCAUAGUUUACGCAGUGACCCAGGGAGGCUAGCCCUUGUGGCCCGGCUCUCGCUUCUUUCUGGGGAAGGGGAACUUGACGUCUAGGAGGGCACCACCAUGUGUAGCUCCAGUGGGCCCCAAGUUCUCCGGUUUGUGGGGGAGGAGGAAGGCAAAUAGAAGGAAGAGGAGACAGGAUUUCGUCCCCCUUGCUGUAGAGGAAGCGGAACUGGGCGGUUGAUACUUGGGAGAAUGAUCAGGAAGGCAGGCCGUGGGGUGUAGCUGCAGGUGGGCCGGGAGGGCAGACCUUGAACUUGGCGGCACUGCCAGCAGCCCCCUUUUCUUUCCAGAGGGUUGCGACCCCGCCUGGGAAUGAGGCCUGGUCUUGUGGAAACUGAACUAGCUUCGCGGGGCUGACCACUCUGGCCCGGGGUGGUGGCAGUGUUCCUCUUUGGACUUUUCCUCUAGGUUCGGUGCUAACUUCUGUGAACUCAUUCUGGCCCUUCUCUUCUUAACUUUCUCGAGGUUAUCCAUUCGUUUAAAAUAUGGCUUCUGGUAACGUGGUAAGCUUGGGAAAGUUGCCAAAGGCCCUGAGAAGUUAAAUUUGGCUGUGUUGGUAACGUGAAGGGGAAAAAGUCCCUCCUUGCUGAGACUCGGGGGUGGGUUGGGGUGGGUGUUGCCUGCCUGAGGAGAUGGGGGGAUCAGAUGUGUACCUUGGAGGGGCCUGCGGCAACGGCACCAACUUAAGGUUCCAGAAUGCCUCAUGGACCAUGGUUUGUUGCUGUAGUGUUCAUCGUGGUGAUCAGAUGGCACCCAGGAGAAAUGGAGCCCCCUGGCCAGUGUGAGUCCUAGCAGUGCAGGAGGGGAGACCCUGAAGGAGAGAGCCCGCCUAAAUUGAUGUCUGCAGAUUGAAUUUCCAGAGGCUUAGGAGGAAGUUUUCUCCAGUGUCCCGUUUCCUGGCCUUGCUCAGGAAGCCCUGUAUUCAGGAGGCCACUUAAGGUUUUCAGAUGAGCUUAUGGAGGGGCUGUCAUUAAAAGUGCAAAGCAGAUCCAUCGGGCCAUCACCAGAAAUGAUUUGAUUGACCCAGGAGCACCAACUUCAGGCCUCUGAAUGCCAGCAGGCACCUCUCCUCUUCUGCGGUGGAGGUUUCAGAUGCUGCAUCUUCUAGAUCGUGCCUCCAGUCAUAACUGGUUCUGGGCUACGAACUUUGCUUCGAGAGAAGAUUCUUAAGCUGUAGGACGUUCUGAGGUGCCACAACGCAGAGGGAUACCUUGUAGAUGAAUCUUGCAGAUGGGAGCCCAGUGACCCUCUCUGACCCGUCCACCUGCCUGUGCCUUGGUUGGAGGAAUUAGUGUGAUGGUUAAGCAGUAUUUUGGGAAAGUGUUCACAUUGGAAAUGCCUUAGGCAAUACUUGAAUGCAGCAUGCUGGCAAAUUUGGGGAGGGGGGUUAUUGACGCUCCAGUCUUGGGGAUGUAAGUUGGUUGUGGUCAAAUUCUGUUAAAAAUGGGCGUUGCCAUUGCAUUGCAGGCAACUAAGCAAAGGGAAUAGGUGGGGUAUAUCAGUGAUCUUUUGAGCCCUCUGGGUUUUUUUGUGUAAAGUUUCAGUUACCAAAUGGGAGGACCCUGAGGGGUGGGGUGGAGCACAGCUCGAUGUUGGUACUGGGAGGGGUAGAGGGUGAGGACAGGGAGAGGGUUGGGUGAGGGAGGUGUGUGCUGCAGAGGGGUGAGGUGGUGGGGAGUGUGGGUUGAAGGGAAUUUGGACGAAAAGGUCAAGUAGAGCGCUGGGGAAACUGAACAACGGGGCAAAGAAAAUGGGUAAUACUAGGAAAAAUAGACUUUUCGGAAGCACAAACAUUGCUUAGAAACUUAAGUCCUUUUAGAAAUCUAAAUGCAGGAAAAGCAAAAUUGUUUUGCUCUGCAAGGUGGGGAAGAGCACAAACAUUGCUUAGAAACUUAAAAGUCCUUUAGAAAUGUAAAUGCAGGAAAAGCAAAAUUGUUUUGCUCUGCUCGCAGGGUGGGAAAGACUGAAAUCCUGUAAUUGAAUGGGAAUGCCAGUCCCACGAAGGGGGGGUAAGACAUUCCCAUCAGCUGAUGAGCGCCGCCUUCGCUGCCUCACUAGCUGCUACAGUGGUUUAUGUGAAGGUGAGCAGUCCGUAUUGGAGCUAGAAAUCUUAGGAAAGACUGGAAGUGGCUGCUGAAAUGCACUUAAAUUUUAAAUAAGGUGGUGUGCUUUGAAGGUAUACUCUAAAUGGGUUUAUAAUACUUCUGUUCACUAAGAUUUUGUGAUUGAAAAUUGAACAAAGGGAAAAUGCAAUGACUUUCAAAGGAACUUUUUUAUAAACAAAUCUCCUUUUUGUGGUUUAUUAACAGCAGUAAAAAUGGUUGCUAUUAACCUCAGUUCUUGUAACAAAGAAAACGGUUUUGUGGUCCCUGUAACUGUGUAUUUGGGAGCAAACAACCAUGUACCCUUGAGAAGGUUGGAGUUAAUCGGCUGUAUCUUUAAUUUGAAUGUGCUUUUUUAAGUUGACCAGUACUUGGGAAACUAUCAAGUCAAAAUCAGAAAUAAAAAUGGGGCGGGGAGGGACCUGUGCUUGAGGUGGUCUGUUUUUAAAAAAUGUAGAGAAAGAGCUGAAAAAAUGGUUCAUAAUUGUUUUCUGAGCUGCACCUAUUGAUUUGGUGAGGUAAUAACCUGUGGCUUUUGAUCUGUGCCUCUUCCCCUUGAAUUUCACUUAAAAUUUAAACUGCCCUAUACUUCUGCCCCUGGGAUUGCUGGGUUCGUUCUUAAUGUUUAAGAAUCUGUUAGUCCAGUUUUUAAUUGGUGACUUGGGUACAAUGAAAUUGCUGUCCAGGAAUUGAAGGAGCAUUAGUCAUGCGUGUAUGGGGAAAUACUUUUGGGUGUGUGGGUUCGAGUAUCCUGUGUUAACUCUGUUGUAAGAACUAGUUCUGUUGCAUCAUGUAUGUGAUCACUAAUCGGUUUUCUUCCCCCCCUUCACAGCACGAAUAAAGGUUGGAAUUCUAAACUCA